rnacentral:rRNA from 1 species
GGAGCGAACGCUGGCGGCAGGCCUAAAACAUGCAAGUCGAACGCCGUAGCAAUACGGAGUGGCAGACGGGUGAGUAACACGUGGGAACGUACCCUUUGGUUCGGAACAACACAGGGAAACUUGUGCUAAUACCGGAUAAGCCCUUACGGGGAAAGAUUUAUCGCCGAAGGAUCGGCCCGCGUCUGAUUAGCUAGUUGGUGAGGUAACGGCUCACCAAGGCUACGAUCAGUAGCUGGCCUGAGAGGAUGAUCAGCCACACUGGGACUGAGACACGGCCCAGACUCCUACGGGAGGCAGCAGUUAGGAAUCUUGGACAAUGGGCGCAAGCCUGACUCCAGCCAUCGCCGCGUGAGUGAUGGAAGGCCGUUAGGGUUGUAAAGCUUCUUCGAGACGGGAAGAUAAGUGAACGGUACCCGAGAGAAGAACGCCCCGGAUAACCGUCGCG